AGAGUUAACUUUUCGUUAG
rnacentral:snRNA from 1 species